AUUGAACGCUGGCGGCAGGCCUAACACAUGCAAGUCGAACGAGUGGCGGACGGGUGAGUAAUGUAUGGGCAACUGCCUGAUGGAGGGGGAUAAGUACUGGAAACGGUAGCUAAUACCGCAUACCAUCGGAUGUGCCCAGAUGGGAUUAGCUAGUAGGUGGGGUAAAGGCUCACCUAGGCGACGAUCCCUAGCUGGUCUGAGAGGAUGACCAGCCACACUGGAACUGAGACACGGUCCAGACUCCUACGGGAGGCAGCAGUGGGGAAUAGUCCACAAUGGGCGCAAGCCUGAUGCAGCCAUGCCGCGUGUAUGAAGAAGGUCUUCGGGUUGUAAAGUACUUUUAGCGGGGAGGCGUUACCCACACAAGAAGCACCGGCUAACUCCGUGCCAGCAGCCGCGGUAAUUC
rnacentral:rRNA from 1 species